GGCCGAGUGGCGAAACCGGCAAACGCACUCGUCUCAAACACGAGAUUAUGCGGGUUCGACUCCCGCCUCGGCUACCA
rnacentral:tRNA from 1 species